UUUUUCUUCACUUUAGGAUAAAUUCUCAUGAACACUCAUCAUGAAGUCAUCAUGGAGGCUCAUUAAAUUUUGAGGACUGGACUUCACAUAUUUGAUUCAAGAUGAAUCGAGGUUGGAUGUAUGGUACAAAGGCUGGAAAUUUGGAUUUUGUCAAUGGUGUGGACUCGUUUGUGCAGACUGCCAAGGCACACAAGAAUCUACAAGAUGAUGGCUACGUGUAUUGCCCAUGCAUUGAUUGCAAAAAUCAGAAGCAGUUUGGCAAUGUUGAGCAGAUCCGCUUUCAUCUGUUAUUUAGAGGUUUUAUGCCCAACUACCAAGUUUGGAACAAGCACGGUGAGGUUGGUGAGACAA